rnacentral:rRNA from 1 species
UACGUAGGGCGCAAGCGUUAUCCGGAAUUAUUGGGCGUAAAGAGCUCGUAGGCGGUUUGUCGCGUCUGCCGUGAAAGUCCGGGGCUCAACUCCGGAUCUGCGGUGGGUACGGGCAGACUAGAGUGAUGUAGGGGGAGACUGGAAUUCCUGGUGUAGCGGUGAAAUGCGCAGAUAUCAGGAGGAACACCAAUAGCGAAGGCAGCUCGCUGGGACGGUACUGACGCUAAGGCGCGAAAGCGUGGGGAGCGAACGGG